rnacentral:rRNA from 1 species
UACGGGGGGGGCGAGCGUUGUUCGGAAUCACUGGGCGUAAAGGGCGCGUAGGCGGCCCGCACAAGUCUGCGGUGAAAACCCCCGGCUUAACCGGGGGCCGGCCGUGGAAACUGUCGGGCUGGAGGCUGGGAGAGGGCAGCGGAAUUCCCGGUGUAGCGGUGAAAUGCGUAGAGAUCGGGAGGAACACCGGCGGCGAAGGCGGCUGCCUGGACCAGUCCUGACGCUGAGACACGAAAGCGUGGGUAGCAAACAGG